ensembl:lncRNA
AGAUGAACCAAAUAUUCAGUAACAUAAAUGGAUUUGUGAAUUGUAUGCAUGCUGCAUGAAAUCUGAAAAAAAAAACACUGCAUGAAAAAAAAAAGGGGAACAGCUGAGGAAAAAUAUAUGACAUCAUUGUCGAGAAGCAAGGCCUUAGAGAGGACUCGACUUUGUGUUUCUGAUUCUUAUCUGCCCACAACUUCUUAUUUUGGGAGGAAGCUUUUACAGCUUGGGUUUACAGCCCUCUCUCCCUCCAAAUGGGGCCGUGACUGAGUGUGAUGACCUCACCCUGUUUCUACUAAACUCUCUCUUACUCCUCUCCUCCCUCACCCCCUCUCACUUUCUCGCAGUCUGUGAGGGAGUUAGGCUGGAGUCACGUUCUCCACAGUUCCUGCAGUCUGCAUCUCAAAAGUGUCUCUGCAGUGUCUCAGACGACUUCAGAGUGGACCAUUUUAGCUUUGUUGACUGGCUUGGUUGACUUCAGACUUGAAUUUGAAUGGAUUUACCAGAAGAAGGAUUCUUUUAAACAAUGAGAAUGAUGUUGUAUUGUUUUAUGGUUACUUGUUCCUCAAUCAGAUGAUUAAAGCAAGAACAGCAAUGAAGAGGAUCCAACCUUUUACUAUUGGGACCAAGUUAUCUGUCCCCUCCGAAAACAAAUGUCUGGAUUUUGUGGGCAACAUCCUUCCUGUACCGGUUCUGGACUGCUGUGAACUAAAAAACAACUCUAACAAUGACGAUUCUCCUUUCCACGAGGAGAGAUUGUCCACAUCUACACCCGUGGAAGGACUUUCAGAUGAUAUUAAAGAGGAAGAUGACAGGGACUCUGCGUCCCCAUCAGCUUCUUCCAGAUCCAUCAGGAAGAUUGCUAUGUGUGCAAAUGUUGAAAGCCAGACUGUCAGUGACUUUAAUGUGACAAACCAUGAGACAAACAAGCCAAGUACUUCUACUGAAAAGCUGUUACUUGUUGAGGAAAGAUUGAGUGACAAGUCCGGUGCACAGCUGGAGACUGAUCCAUAUACUAAAGGAAGGAAGAUAAAGAACCUUCAUUACGACUACAGCAUGCCAACUUUCCCACAUGAUCAACCAGAGGACGCGUCUCAGAGCCAAAGGAGAGACCUCAAAGACUUUGAGAACUCUCUCAUCCAACUGACGACAAGUCUGGACUUGAUGCAGGAGGAACCAGAAAAACCUCUUCAGAAGAAGACAGAUGCUGUAGAUUUAGGAUUGGAAAUGUUUAGAAGAAGACAAAGCCCGGGGGACCACGUUGACAAAUCGUGGCUAAAGUUGAGGUCACUCCUGAGGGACUAUCAUCAGGAUCUCAUGUUGGCUUUAGACGUCUCAUCAUUUUACCAACAAGCCGACAGCAUUAUUGGCGCCAUCAACAGCAAGAGGAACUGUGUACUGGUGGACGACAUCCCAAAAAGUGACAAAGAGACCAUAGAAAUUGCCUGUCAGAUAAGUAUGCUGAAUGAGUCUGUGUCUCGGCUGUCAACUCUCCACCCAACCCUGGCCAGAAGAGUUACAUGCAAACAGGCCGAGGUGAAGGAGAACUGGGCACUUCUCCAGGAGUUUCUCCGGAACCAGAAGACAGAUGUUUCUUCAAAACGCCCGUCAGCGUUACCCGCUGAUCCUCUAACCACAUGCCCUGACUCACAGAGCUUUGCUAGAAAUGAGGGUCACAGCAUAAUGGGAAAAGACGUCAAAGAAGAGCAAAACCGUCUCCGAGGAUUUGAGUGCUCUCAAGGCCUGUGGACCCAUAGGAUGUGGAGUCCGGUUGAGGAAUGUUCUAUAGGGAGUCAAGUCUCACUGUUGGAAAGCAGCUGUUCCAAGCUGGACAACAUCUCAGAAAAGCAGGACAGGAAGAGCUGUAUCGACCAGAUGGCUCAAACAACCCCUGUUUCCUCUCAAGAAUGUCUCAUACCCAAUAAGCUGUUGAAAGAAUCGACGACAUCCACUGGAAUGAAUGAAGAGCAUGACUGCUCAAAGCAAAGACAAGACCACAAAAUAGAGGAGCUCCUAAGCCAGGUGGAGGUCCUUUGGGAUGCUCUGCAAAAGAAAUAUGGAGAGAACAAUAAGACUGAACCGGCGGAAAAAGAACAAUCUGGAGAUGAAGCUGCACAGAUGGUUUCAGAUCUUACAGUUUCAAACAAUCUCCCGGAAAAAGUAGAGGAAGGCAGUUCAGGAAUGCUUGAAAAGUUCCUUGAACUUCUUGAUCCCAGUGGUUAUCACAAAAUAAAUCAGGAUGUUCCUGGAUCUCUGCAUAGGCAAGAAAUGGCUGAGGCUGCAGAAAUGUCACUAAAUCUACUGAGUCAACAAACUGAACAAGAAAGAUCUCAGAAGCAGGACCAGAUCAAUAAUGAGCUACAAAGCUUGCUAUCUACUCUUACACUGCGGAUAAACCAGCACCUCUGCCGCUGUGCUGAGCUCAGUAUGGACCUCCUGGACAUAGAAACAGAUAUGACUGUGCUUUGUGACUCGGACCUCAGUGGUCUGGAGGGGCUACAGGAGCAGCAGGAUGACCUAGAGGCUCAUUAUAAUAUCAUUGAAGGAGAGGUGAGAGAAAUGGAGAGACUAGACAGUCAGCUAAAGGUUCCUUCCCCAGAACAGAGAGACCUUCUCAGGGAAGAGGUUCAGGCAAUCCUGCAGGCUUGGGAGGAAGUAGGCCGCAACAUGGCUGAAAACAGAAGCCGUCUGGAGAAGUUCCACCAGAUUCAGGACUACUUCGAAAACUAUCUUGCCAUGAUUACGUGGACAGAGAACACCAGAUCCUGUAUCCUUGCCGGUGGCUCUGCUUGGAGAGAGAGUGAAGUUGCAGAGAUUGAUCACAGCAUUGAAACCAAGCUGGAUGAGUUUAGCAAACUGGCUGCAGCUGGUCAAAUGCUUAUGCAAGAUGAGAGUCAGUUUAAAGACAUUAUCAAGGAGAGAACAGAUGAGUUGCAAAGCAUGCUGGGAUGGAUCCAGGUGAACUGGCACGUUCAAAGAGAGCAGCUUAAAAGAAACCAGAAUGGGAGACCAGAGUCAACAAACGAUCCUGUUCAACAGCAGGCUAUACCUUUCAAAAAACCUUCUGAUGGUCUUUGCAUUAUAAAUGGAGAGGUCAAAGGAAAUACUCCUGAAACACAGUCCUCUCAAAACAACUUUGAGCAACAGAAUGGGAGGCAUGAUGUGUCCAGUGUUGUUAGUCAGGAGUCAUGCCUUUCAAAGACAUCCCUAGGCUCUAGCAUCUGUCUCAUUUUGAGCUUUGAUGACCAGUCUUCAGGCAUUAACCAAGUGACAAAGCAAUGGUCCCCCAACAAUAAUGAAAUACUUGAAGAGUCAGCAGGCAGCAUUCAGGCAGACAGCUGUCAAUCACAGGACACAACCUCAAUGCAAAUACAACAGCCACAAGAAAUUCUCCAGGAAAGAUGGCCGAAUGAAUCAGUCAAGAGUAAAGACACCAAACCCAAGUCAUCUUGUGUGAAUCUUGCACAGCUGCAAAUCAAAAACCAAGGAGAACCAGACCAGUCACCAAGCAAAGAAGAAAUAUCCAACCAGUUGUCCACAUAUAACACUGAAUCAUCAUUUUGCAAUCACCUACCAGAUAAUCUGCAGUCCAACAACAACCAAACAUAUCUGCAACCAUCACCAGAUGUCGAUCAGAUGCAAAAUCCUGAGAAUCAAGCACAAAAAACUCAGUCACAAAGCUACAGCCCGAACCGGAUGCAAAAAUCUGCACACAACAAUCUAGAAUCAAACCAAAACCAAAGUGACGACCACCUGCGGUCUGAAGUCACUCAUAGAGUGUUCACGUAUUUGCACGUCUCUGAUAGUUACAGAUCAACAGGGCAAGUCUUGGAGGUCACAUCCCCAACACAUGCAGCAGAAAAUGUCACACCUGAGAGGAGAACGGUUUAUAAUCACAACAGAUUCAAGCCAAGCUCUUUGUUCAAGCUGAAAGAGCCAAUCACAAAUGAGGAAGAAAACCAGCGAAGGAACUCUCUGCUUGGCUCUGUAGGAUCGGAAAGGUCUGGCAAACCUUCAAGCAUUUUCAGGCGAAGGUGUAACACUUGGCCAGAAGGAGAAGGGAGAGUGAAAGAAAGUCAAUCAAACUCCAAACUUCAGGUUUUUAUUAAAAAAAACAUGUUGCCGGUGAAUUCUGUCAUCGAUAACAAGUCCAACUCUUUUCCAGAAGACAACUUGCCUAAUGCUGUCAAGACUUCAAGUGGACCGGUUAAAAACAUCUGCUCUUAUUUGUCUCUAGGAUCCACUCUUAGCUUCAGUCUUCCCAAGUGCUUUCACAACAGUGUCUUAGACAUGCAAAAUAAAGAGGAGAUUCAACCUGUCCCGAUUUAUGAUGACUCAGACAACCAAAAAAUACCCUCAGCUCGAACGCCACAGUCAGAAAUGGAGGUAGAACCAGUGAUACAUACUAAACAAACUGAAAUAAACCUUCAUACAGUAAAUAUGGAAGAUUGGGACAAUACAGAAGAACCAACCACUGAGGUUGAGACCCAACAGUUAAACCAAAUUUAUGAAAACACAGAACCUGUCUUGAGGGUUUUCACGUCGGUUGAAUAUGAAGAACCUGAUCAUGUUUCCGCCAGCUGUCACAAAGCCUCUUCUCCAGUGGUCAAUGGCUCUGCCUUGGUCACUCACUGCAGGCCUCUGUGUCCUUCUUCAUCAGGUGGUCACAGUUGCUUAAGUGUUUACACUAAAAUAAAAGACCUGAACGGCCACUUAUAUUACACAUCCAAAUACAUGAAGAUAAACCCUUCUAAAAAAUUGUUCCCUAAUGGCCCAGGCUCUCGUAAGAGCGGCCGCGUCAUAAACUGUGGUGUGAGAGACUGUGCAGUGUGUUUCAGUGAUACAGUGAAAGAGACAAGUGUAGACUGGGCAGAGAAACCUGACAUAAGCACGGAGGAACUUCUUAAGCCAGGCCACUGGUUAUUCCAGCAGGAGGAAGAGGAACUGGAAGAUAUCUGGAGAGGAAGAGUGGGUAAUCUAACUUCAAACUGUACUGCGGAAACAAAUACGGAUGAAGAAACAGGGCUAUCAAUCAAAACCAACAGGGGACAGGUAGCCCACCCACUGCAUGGAUGA